rnacentral:rRNA from 1 species
ACCACAGGAUGCUAAGUGUUGGGAGGGUUUCCGCCCUUCAGUGCUGCAGCUAACGCAUUAAGCACUCCGCCUGGGGAGUACGACCGCAAGGUUGAAACUCAAAGGAAUUGACGGGGGCCCGCACAAGCGGUGGAGCAUGUGGUUUAAUUCGAAGCAACGCGAAGAACCUUACCAGGUCUUGACAUCCUUUGACCACUCUAGAGAUAGAGCUUCCCCUUCGGGGGCAAAGUGACAGGUGGUGCAUGGUUGUCGUCAGCUCGUGUCGUGAGAUGUUGGGUUAAGUCCCGCAACGAGCGCAACCCUUAUUGUUAGUUGCCAUCAUUCAGUUGGGCACUCUAGCAAGACUGCCGGUGACAAACCGGAGGAAGGUGGGGAUGACGUCAAAUCAUCAUGCCCCUUAUGACCUGGGCUACACACGUGCUACAAUGGGAAGUACAACGAGUUGCGAAAUCGCGAGGCUAAGCUAAUCUCUUAAAGCUUCUCUCAGUUCGGAUUGCAGGCUGCAACUCGCCUGCAUGAAGCCGGAAUCGCUAGUAAUCGCGGAUCAGCACGCCGCGGUGAAUACGUUCCCGGGCCUUGUACACACCGCCCGUCACACCACGAGAGUUUGUAACACCCGAAGUCGGUGAGGUAACCUUUUUGGAGCCAGCCGCCUAAGGUGGGAUAGAUGAUUGGGGUGAAGUCGACAAGGGGGAAACCGGAAA